rnacentral:rRNA from 1 species
UACGUAGGUCCCGAGCGUUGUCCGGAUUUAUUGGGCGUAAAGCGAGCGCAGUUGGUUUAUUAAGUCUGGUGUAAAAGGCAGUGGCUCAACCAUUGUAUGCAUUGGAAACUGGUAGACUUGAGUGCAGGAGAGGAGAGUGGAAUUCCAUGUGUAGCGGUGAAAUGCGUAGAUAUAUGGAGGAACACCGGUGGCGAAAGCGGCUCUCUGGCCUGUAACUGACACUGAGGCUCAAAAGCGUGGGGAGCAAACAGG